rnacentral:rRNA from 1 species
UACGUAGGGUGCGAGCGUUGUCCGGAAUUAUUGGGCGUAAAGGGCUCGUAGGCGGUUUGUCGCGUCGGGUGUGAAAACACCGGGCUUAACUCGGUGCUGGCUUUCGAUACGGGCAGACUAGAGGUAUGCAGGGGAGAACGGAAUUCCUGGUGUAGCGGUGAAAUGCGCAGAUAUCAGGAGGAACACCGGUGGCGAAGGCGGUUCUCUGGGCAUGUCCUGACGCUGAGGAGCGAAGGUGUGGGGAGCGAACAGG